rnacentral:rRNA from 1 species
AUGGGCCGUUUAUUCGCCGAAAUUGGGCUGCAAAGUGGGCCAAUUUCGGCGCCUGGGGGCGAGCUGGGGGCGACGACUGGGCGCAAACCCGCCCCCAGCGCCGAGUGCAUCGCCGGCUCGCCUCCAGGGGGCGAUUUUUAUGCGUCCUUGGGGGGCCAACGGCUGGAGAUGCCCUUAUACUUCGACGUUCCAAGUAAAUUAGCCCCAAUGUACCCCCUUCUCAACCCCACCAAUAAUGGAACUGUCUACUUUGCGGCUGGCAAGCUCCGUGAGAACCGGAGCAACGGGAUGUGCAUCCCAACAGGAGCAGAAUAUCUACUCGAGCUCGACAUAUGGUGCAACGUCCGUGAGAGUAUAAUUUCUCUUGUGGACCGUUUUGACGAGCCUGUCAUCCCCAACUUCGUCGCUUCCAAUUUCUGCCAGUACGCUCGUGUCGUAGAUCUCGAUUCUCACAUCUUGAUGAUGGAGAUGAGGAAGCAGCAGUCUUCCAAGGAACAUGAUGGACGAGCUGAUCUUCCAGCUCAUUAUUAUUUUAACUCAAGACUAGCCCAGUCAGGCAUUGUAGACACCGUUCCAGAGCACCAUUCUGGAGUUAUCAUGGAGUGA